UUGUAUUUUUAACACAUCUAAUGAGUAGACAAGCAGAAAAGCUGCCGUAAGCCAGGAAAUAUCACGGGGUUCAUGUUUGAACAGCAUCAGCUUUAUUUACUAAAAUACAGUUUUGAGUUCACAGACAAAAUGAACUUCCAGAAUGAUUUUCUUUAGCCCCAGCAAGUCAAGUCCUUCCCAGUCGUUAAUUGAUUGUAGAAAUGCAGUUCCAAGGUCUUCAUUUUUGUUUCAGUUUCUCCCACCACCUCUGCUGCAUUUGAUUUGCAAAAUCUCCCAGGUACCCUUAGCUACUAUGGCGGUGUCCUGAUACAGCAUAAGAUACCGACCCUUCAAUGAUGGAUGUUGUGAAAGCCAGCCUCGUGGACCACAGGCACCCUGAGAGGGAGGAUCAUGUGUCCACCCUUGUUUCCUCCACUGUCUGGAGCUGAGCCUGGAGCCCUCAUGGAAUAUUACAGAAUGGACAUAGGAGGGAAAGAACUGCUGUAUGCAAUGACAGCUUCCCUUGGAAAAAGCCUCUCCUUCAGUCACUAUUGUCCCAGUAAUGACAAGAGUAAUAUGUUAGACUUUUGUCUUAGUCAGGUGAAUGUUCAACAAAGAAGUAAAUCCAUGUGGCAGCAAGUUUGAGAUUCCGAGUCACAAGAGACCAUUUGGCCCGGAGAUGGCAGCAGGUCCCUGUCAAACACAGCUUCUCAAGAUGGCUGCCUGCCCGACACAGACUGAGCCACGAUGGGCGGAGCUUGCGGUAUGGAUUUUCCUGUGGAGCCACCUGCCCGGAAGGGUCCCAGAGAUCGUUUAAGGGGGUCCACAGAAGUGCCAAGGCGCUCACUGGCAACUUGAAAUUAGAGCUGAGAUUGACUUGGUGUUCCCGUGAUGUGGGUUUCAAGUCUGGCUGAAAUCAAAACUGCCUUGGAGGGCAUGCCUGGGAAUUUGCUAUUUUGUCUUGCAUAAACUUCUGAUAGUCACCCAGGCCUGCUGGUGCCCUAUUUCUUUAGAUGGUUUUAAUCCCAAACUGUGCUUCAAAUGUUCUACUGUUUUCCAGGGGUCAACAUUACUUCUCUUUCUUAGAACAUCGUUUAUGUAAUUACACUCACACACCUUUUAUAUUAGGACUGCAUGCUAUGUAGUGUCUUUCAGACCACAGUAAGACAAUGCCUC